rnacentral:rRNA from 1 species
CGUGGGCAACCUGCCUCAUAGAGGGGAAUAGCCUUCCGAAAGGGAGAUUAAUACCGCAUAAGAUUGCAGCUUCGCAUGAAGUAGCAAUUAAAGGAGCAAUCCGCUAUGAGAUGGGCCCGCGGCGCAUUAGCUAGUUGGUGAGGUAACGGCUCACCAAGGCGACGAUGCGUAGCCGACCUGAGAGGGUGAUCGGCCACAUUGGGACUGAGACACGGCCCAGACUCCUACGGGAGGCAGCAG